UACGAAGGGGGCUAGCGUUGUUCGGAAUUACUGGGUGUAAAGCGUGCGCAGGCGGCUUCUCAAGUCAGGGGUGAAAGCCCAGAGCUCAACUCUGGAAUUGCCUUUGAGACUGAGUGGCUUGAGUACGAGAGGGGUGAGUGGAAUUCCCAGUGUAGAGGUGAAAUUCGUAGAUAUUGGGAAGAACACCGGUGGCGAAGGCGGCUCACUGGCUCGUAACUGACGCUCAUGCACGACAGCGUGGGGAUCAAACAGG
rnacentral:rRNA from 1 species